rnacentral:rRNA from 1 species
UACAGAGGUCUCAAGCGUUGUUCGGAAUCACUGGGCGUAAAGGGUGCGUAGGCUGCGCGGAUAGUCAGAUGUGAAAUCCGGAGGCUCAACCUCCGAAUAGCAUCCGAUACUACCAUGCUAGAGAGCUGUAGGGGGGUUUGGAAUUCUCGGUGUAGCAGUGAAAUGCGUAGAUAUCGAGAAGAACGCUCGUGGCGAAGGCGAAACCCUGGGCAGUUUCUGACGCUGAGGCACGAAGGCUAGGGGAGCAAACGGG